rnacentral:rRNA from 1 species
AGGACGAACGCUGGCGGCGUGCUUAACACAUGCAAGUCGAGCGGAAAGGCCCUUCGGGGUACUCGAGCGGCGAACGGGUGAGUAACACGUGAGCAAUCUGCCCUUAGCUUCGGGAUAGCCCCGGGAAACCGGGAUUAAUACCGAAUAUGACCUCGGCCGACAUCGGCCCUGGUGGAAAGUUUUUCGGCUAGGGAUGAACUCGCGGCCUAUCAGCUUGUUGGUGGGGUAAUGGCCUACCAAGGCGACGACGGGUAGCCGGCCUGAGAGGGCGACCGGCCACACUGGGACUGAGACACGGCCCAGACUCCUACGGGAGGCAGCAGUGGGGAAUAUUGCGCAAUGGGCGAAAGCCUGACGCAGCGACGCCGCGUGGGGGAUGAAGGCCUUCGGGUUGUAAACCCCUUUCAGCAGGACGAAGCGAAAGUGACGGUACCUGCAGAAGAAGCGCCGGCUAACUACGCGCCAGCAGCCGC